rnacentral:rRNA from 1 species
UGGGGAAUUUUGGACAAUGGGCGAAAGCCUGAUCCAGCAAUGCCGCGUGAGUGAAGAAGGCCUUCGGGUUGUAAAGCUCUUUUGUCAGGGAAGAAACGGUGAGAGCUAAUAUCUCUUGCUAAUGACGGUACCUGAAGAAUAAGCACCGGCUAACUACGUGCCAGCAGCCGCGGUAAUACGUAGGGUGCAAGCGUUAAUCGGAAUUACUGGGCGUAAAGCGUGCGCAGGCGGUUUUGUAAGUCUGAUGUGAAAUCCCCGGGCUCAACCUGGGAAUUGCAUUGGAGACUGCAAGGCUAGAAUCUGGCAGAGGGGGGUAGAAUUCCACGUGUAGCAGUGAAAUGCGUAGAUAUGUGGAGGAACACCGAUGGCGAAGGCAGCCCCCUGGGUCAAGAUUGACGCUCAUGCACGAAAGCGUGGGGAGCAAACAGGAUUAGAUACCCGCGUAGUCCCUGAGCGGGCUGGCAAGGCGCAU